rnacentral:lncRNA from 1 species
UAGAGACCAAGGUAUAGGCUGGGCUUAGUUCUCAUGUGAAGCCUCUGGGGAAAAAGUUCACUUCCACGUUCUUUUUUUUAUUUUUGCAGUCGCACGCAGGAAAGGAGGAAAUUUUCGAUAGAAAAAGCUUGGAGAUCCUGUUGCUGUCACCCAUCGCGCUGUUGGAGGCUGGGAUUAGUCCGGAACUCUGCAGGGAAGACAGCACCAAGCUGUGAAGUCACUCAAGCAGCCUGUGGAAAGGCCACAUGGAGAGAAACUGAGCUCCCACCUGCAGCCAGCAUGGACUUGAGUCAUAUGACUGAGACACCUGGGAAGUGGAUCCUCCAGCCCCAGUCAAGCCUUCAGAUGACAGCAGCCCAGAACCACCCAGCCAGGCCUGCUCCAUAUUCCUGACCCAAAGAAAUUGUGAGGCAUUGGGAGACAUUGAGAGAAAUUGUGAGACAAUGAUCAUUGUGUUGUAAGUCACUAAGUUUGGGGGUCAUUUGCUGUGCAGCCUCAGAUAAUGAGGACUUCUUCGUGCCCUUUCUUGGCUUCUUCUGUUGCUCCAACUGCCAUCUGAUGAAAGUGUGAUGAAAACCAAAGGCCCUCCUCCAGAAAGUUCAGGUACAUACAGAAAGAAAUGGGGGUGCAAUUUCAAAGGGAUCACAGGUCAUCUAAAAGCAGACUUCAGACCUCCAGAUCCCAGAGUCCCCAGCGGGCCCCCAAUAGACAUGGAACCUGAGUGAGGAAUAAGUGUCUCAGCUGCCGUGCUGUGGGACAUGGCCAUGCUGGCUGCAGGGUCUUCAGCUUGGUCAUGGCGGAGUGCCCAUGGCCUACAUUCCUUUCUCCUCCUCUUCUCUGUGUCCUUGGCAGGCUGCCCCUGCAGAGGAGGCCCGUGGGUGCCCAGACUAAGUAGGUAAGUUUAGCUCUAAGGGAGCAGGUUGAGAGAGCCCAUCUGGUUGUGUACAGGCAACUUCUCAGCCAAGCUCUGCCAAUUGCUGGUGUUCAUACUUGGCUGAUGCCUCCACUUCAAUACAGAGCCUGCAGGGGAGGCAGGAUGUGAACGCAGCCCCUGGAACCUGACUGUGGGC